rnacentral:rRNA from 1 species
UACGGAGGGUGCGAGCGUUGUCCGGAAUCAUUGGGCGUAAAGGGCGCGUAGGUGGCCCGGUCAGUUCGUGGUGAAAGCGCGGGGCUCAACCCUGCGUCGGCCAUGAAUACUGCCGCGGCUGGAGCACUGUAGAGGCAGGCGGAAUUCCGGGUGUAGCGGUGGAAUGCGUAGAGAUCCGGAAGAACACCGGUGGCGAAGGCGGUCGGCUGGGCAGGUGCUGACACUGAGGCGCGACAGCGUGGGGAGCAAACAGG